CACAAGUAAACACAAAAUGCAUUGUCAAUUAAAUGUAUAUUUUCUGUAUAUCAGUCUCUAUUUCUAGAUCUCUAUCCUCAGAGCAUUAACCUCGCUGAAAGGACGUAACAGACACGUCAAUGCUGUCAAUCCGUGAUCCCUACAGACGGACCCCCCGCCGCAGUUUAGAUAAAAUGAAUAGAAAGACUGGGCCUGUCAACUGGACAAGAAGUCGAAGUGACUGACGACCAAGUACAAUUUCCAUUUACCUCAGAGGAGGAAGUGGAGCUUUUUGAGGAUCGCCUUAAAGAUCCCUCCAACUCUCAGCUGAAGAAGAGUGUGAUUUCUUCCCUGGCAACCAUCGGAGGACAUGAUACAAAACGGGUUACACGGAACAUCCUGCCCGCAUGUUCAGUGAUGAUGUUGGGAAGACCAUCAACUGGAAAUUGGGAUAAAUGGGGAAAAAGUCCUUCAGCCAGAUGGCGUCAAAGACUUUGCUCCUGCAUGCCGUCAGAAAGAAUCAUGUCUCACGUUCCGCCACUGAUGAGGAGAUUCUGAAUCAGCAAUGAGGUGGUUCAACCUGGCAGCAGGCGGGGGAAGCUCCAGGAGGCGUGCCACUGUCAGCAUCCCUACUGAACAAACCUACAUGUGUUAUACAUGUGAUGUAAAAUCCUUGUAAAU